rnacentral:lncRNA from 1 species
AUGGAAAGAAUUGGCAUUUUGCUCACAUUAUCUGCUUUCAUAACCAUUCAUUUUCAAGUGAAGGCCAAGAGCUUUUCUAAAAAUGUCAUGGCAACAGUCAGAGAUAUCCAAAGGAAUGAGAUAAUUCUGGAACUGGAAGUGGAACAGCCAUGUCAGCACCCAGCCCAGGUUUCCUGCAGCCUGUAGGAAACUUGCAGUAAUCCCUGGGCUCUGCUUGGCACUGGAGAGGCCUCUGGAAACCGAGUACUGGCUUGGACACCUCCCUUCAGGUGAGGUGCAGAGACAAGCCAGAGCAGAACAAGCUGGAGAAAACAUGACUGGGGAGAGGAAAUACUGGGAAGAACUGGCAUUGUGCAGUACAAGCAAAGGAAGGCUGAGACAGCUGGUGUCGUGAAUGAGUGUUUUAGGCUGUUUAAAGAAGCUCUGGCAAAAGUAUUGGAAAAGCAUGUUUCAUAUAAAAGUGAAAGCCUGACGAGGUUCAUUGGCAAGGUUCAUUCUACUUUUUACUUGAUGGUUAAAACACACACAGAAAAACCAAACUAAAAUCUAAAAUCAAUCAAUCUAAAACCAAA